UUACACGCUGUGACUAGCAUAUCAAUAAGCGGAGGAAAAGAAACUAACAAGGAUUCCCCUAGUAACGGCGAGUGAAGCGGGAAGAGCUCAAAUUUGAAAUCUUAAAGGGUUUCCCUUUACGAAUUGUAGUUUAAAGAAGUGUUUUCUGUUGAGGUUUUGGUAAAAGUUCUUUGGAAUAGGACAUCAUAGAGGGUGAGAAUCCCGUAUUUGACCUUUACUUUCAACUUUGUGAUACACUUUCAAAGAGUCGGAUUGUUUGGGAAUGCAGUCCAAAAUGGGUGGUAAAUUUCAUCUAAAGCUAAAUAUUGGCGAGAGACCGAUAGCGAACAAGUACCGUGAGGGAAAGAUGAAAAGAACUUUGAAAAGAGAGUUAAACAGUACGUGAAAUUGUCAAAAGGGAAGCGUUUGACACCAGUGUUGUUUUUCUGAAAAUCAAUUAAAGAACUGUUUAUGCUAAGUUGUUUAGACUUUAUCAGCUAACUGUUUAGUUUUGAGCUUUUCUUUAAUGCACUUUUCAGUUAACAAGUCAACAUCAAUUUCUUUCGCUGUAAAAAAGCUUGAGGAAGGUGGCUUGAGAUUCGUCUUAAGUGUUUAUAGCCUCUUGCCUAUGCAGUCGGAGAGAUUGAGGUCUGCAGCGUAGAUCCUUCGGGGCUAAAUGCAUUUGUGCUAAGUUAUAGCAUUUUAUAGACAACUUGUUGACUAUGAUUUGUCUUGUAGCUUACUCGCUUAUGUUAUUUUACCUACGCUUAGGAUGUUGACGCGCGUGUGUGCGUG
rnacentral:rRNA from 1 species